CCUAAAAUAAAUUAUUUAUAAACUAAUAAAUAAACUUGAACUCAAACAAAUAUUUCAUGUCUUGAGUGUUCUAUCUUACAGCUGGCACAGCAGUAUCUCAAGUACCAAACAGAGAUUGCAAUGUUUCGAGCAGACACGUCAUGAAUUACGUAAAGAACUACAAGAUGAUGUGAUGGAUCAUCAGAGCACUGCUCAGCUCACAGAGGAAUAUCUUAAACUGUCUAAUGAAAAUGAAAGUUUGAAAAGUUUCCACAGAAAUUUAACUGUGCAGCUAGAACAUAUUAGGAAGAAGCAACAACAGACUAAAAGAUACGGUGCCAGUUGAGACUAGGUUCCUACAUUAAAUAACUUGAGAUUGAAAACCAGUCACAUAAUCCUGGCAUUUGAUUGGCUGUUUUGAACUCAUUUGAAAUAUUGACCAAUGGCAAGGUUGUAUUCUGAGGCUGGUUUUCAAAUUCUAUAAAAAAAACUUUCAAGAGGUUUGAAACCAGUCACACUACCCUCGCAUUUGAUUGGCUGUUUUUGAACUCAUUUGGAAUAUUGACCAAUGGCAAGGUUGUAUUCUGAGACUGGUUUUCAAAUUCUAUUAGAACAAAAUCAGGAAAACAAAACAGCUACAAACUGAAAGAUACUGUGCCAGUUGAGACGAGAAGUGUUUUAGUGUAUACAAAAUGUCAUAUGUUUGCCAUAUUUAAUCUACAUUUUUUCAUGGAUGACUGGAAAGGAUAUAGUAUUUAAAGAACUACUGGCUGGCAUAUAAUAAUGGAUCACGAUUGAAUUUCAGGAAAAAGACAUGCUGGUGAUAUUUUCAGAUCUAAUAUAACAAUUUUCAAGAUUUUCAUAUAUAAAAAAAUAGAUUUUUGAUUGAGCAACAUGUAACUCUCAGGUAAAUCAAAAAAGAAAUGUAUAAAUUCUGAGGAUGAGAGCUUUGCCAUCAAUAACAGAGACCAUAUGCUGUUAAAGACUGACUUGUAAAAAAGUCUUGACAGAAUGAAAUUAUUACAUGCGUCAAAAUUUGUGAUACCGAAUAUUUUGUUCAGUGUACAUUGGUUUACAUAAAAUGUUGAACAUUAUCGCAGGUUUUUGUUGCAUGCAGCAUUUGAUUGUUUUGUAGAAUAUAAAAAACUAUUUUUUUGUACAUAUUUCUGAUCAAUUUUAUAUGGCAGAUAUAGAUUGCUGGUUAACUUGUGUUUUAUAGAAAUAAUGAAAUACUUUGAAUCCUAGCAGGUCUGGUCUGCAGAUUUAUAAAAGUAUUUGUCCUUUUAUAAUGAAAUAUAUUAAUAAAGUUUUAAUAAAAUUGUAAAAACUC
rnacentral:lncRNA from 1 species